GCCUUACUAUAAAUACAGAUCUUGAGCGCCUUUACAAAUCAGACCAGCAUCUCUCUAGCGAUAUUAAAACAGCUUUAGAAUUUGUUGUAGAUUUUCUUCUACCAGAAACUUAAAAAUCAAGAUGUCCAGACUUAUUAGUGUCUUACUCUGUGUCGUCUUUGUAUCAUGUGCCCUUGCACAGGUGGGAAUGCCACAAAAUAGCCAACAAGCACCAGUUGGCAAUGCCUAUGGAAUGCAUCCACCCGCCGGAGGCAAUAAUAUGAUGAUGAAUCCAUGGCUUUGGAUGUUAGGGGGUGGUAACGAUAUGAUGUGGCGAAUGAUGAUGAUGCAACAGUUCGGACCAAUGGGAUUAUUUUUGGGUAACUAAUCAACGAAUAUCGACAGACAUCCACAUUUUCUAGCAAGCCAUUCCGAGGAGGGAUUCGUACAAUUUGGCUUUAGAUACUUCCACUAUCUACCUUUCUGUGUAUAUUUUCCUUUUAUAUUAAUAAUGUGACGUCCAUCUUGGAUUAAUAUUGUCGCGUCCAUUUUGGAUAUUUACAUGUUCAGCUAUCUUUAUUUAAAUAUAUGUAUGUAUGUAUGUCGUCUGUUCUAAUACCAAACGUUUGUCAUGUAGGGUAUUGUCGGGAUCACACUUGAUAGUUCUAUCAAACAAAAUGACAAAAUCAUGAACUACAGAUAGGCAUUUCGCCCCAUACUUUUCGGACGAACUAUGAUAUUACGAAUAAUGUUUUCUAUUAUAAUUAUAUGAUAAUGUCGUACUUUGUUUCAUCAAUAUAUAUUUAACAAUUUUUUUUAAUAAACCAUGUUUUUUGAAAAGUC